rnacentral:misc_RNA from 1 species
GAUGAAGAACGCAGCGAAAUGCGAUAAGUAAUGCGAAUUGCAGAAUUCCAGUGAGUCAUCGAAUCUUUGAACGCACAUUGCGCCCGGUAGUAUUCUGCCGGGCAUGCCUGUUCGAGCGUCAUUUCAACCAUCAAGCCCCAGCGCUUGUGUUGGGGGCCUGCGGCUGCCGCAGCCCCCUAAAAGCAGUGGCGGGCUCGCUAUCACACCGAGUGCAGUAGUUCAUCUUCUCUCCGGUCUUGUGAGGCGGGUUCCGGCCGUGAAACACCCCACUACAUUCAAGGUUGACCUCGGAUCAGGUAGGAAUACCCGCUGAACUUAAGCAUAUCAAUAAGCGGAGGA